AGAAAAAAGUGUAGUUUUUAUGAACUUAGUUAUCUGCCAGGUUGCAUUCGAAAUAUCUCCGAGGAUGUAAUCACGCUUUUUGGAGAUAAGAAGAAAUAACUGAUCAUUCUUGUGUGCCUUUUUGAUAAAAGUUUCAAAUUUACUUACUGUAUCA